UCGAUUCAAGUGGUUGUUCAAGCUUUGAUUUGUGUACGUGUCUAGCCGAUCUAGAACGCAGUUCCGAUGAAUAGCUUAAUUUAUUUAACAGGCACGUAUAAGCUAAUGGUUUGCAAUGGCCCAUGUAGGGUAUAUCAUCCACAUAAAGACCAUAUGAGCCUCCUAUUCAUAGCACAACUUCAAGCUCUAAAUCAGUAAAUCACAACAGACCAUACAAGUUUGUACACAGUUCCGUGACGAAAACAAAAACAAGCAAAAGCAAGAGCCAGGCUAAACCUUGAUAUCACCCGGGCCAACAGGUACAGAUUUGGCGUCGGGUGACUCAGAAUAGGAAAUCGAAAUCAGCUUAGACCUGUACUUCUCUUCUCCAUCACCUCCUGUUAUUCCUUUCACCAGAUUUUCACUCUUACUCAGAUUUACAGGUGCGAAUUCUGGAUCAAGGUCUUUCUUCUCAGGUAGACGGUAAGAGAUAGCAAUUAGAGACUCCCGAGUUGCGUCCUCUGAAGCCUCCUUCUGAGUUUGUUCAACCUUAUCCAUAAAAUGACCUCCUUUUUAGUUCUGCAAAAUCAUAGUAUCAUCAACUUCUAUAGUACAGGGCGAGGACAAAGAAACCAAAAAAUCGAACAUUCAGUGAAAUCUGAGUGUUUCAGCAUAAAUAUUAAUAUAGGGCUGCUCUUAUGCUAAUUUCAGUAACUUUUAUUUGAAAAGGUCACUAUAAGCAUGAACUUGAAAAGCGUUGCAAACCGGCAAUAUGUUGAUAAUUUUCAGUUUUCCAUGAUUUUAGAUAUACAUAAACUAGGAAACAAAUGGAUGGGUCCUACGACAAGUUCAGCCAAUUGGUAGUGUUACCAAAAAAACAAUGGUCCCUGCAGCCAAGCAAAAGAGACCAAAACUCCCAAACCUACAGGGGGGAACAUGUAGACUUAUUCCACUCACUUCUAGAAAAUAAAACUGAAACAUAAAGGGAAAAGCUUAAUAGUAUUGCGACAGAAAUUCAGCAGAUAUCCUCGUAAACAACCACUCCACUGAAAGAAGAAAGAGUUCGAUUAUUAGCUGAAUGCAGGGAUUCCAGCAGAGUCUUUUCCACAGAGCAUGAAAAGAAGUAACAGGAAAAAUCAUAUCCAUUUCUUAGAAAUGAAAUAGCGUACUCAAUCUUGGGCCUCUUGGCCAAAUAGACUAACAGAAUAAAGGACACCAACAACUACCUCAACAAUCCACACAGAACCUCUUUAAAAAAGUCAUCCUAUCAAGACUACACAAAACAGAAAGUGAUGAAAUAAGCAAAGAAAAUUGAGAGAAUGGAAUGAGCACAGAGAAACUCGUCACUCUUUUGGCUGUAUUGGGAUCAAGGAUUUGGGUGGAAGAGGAAAAGGAAAUGGAGAAGUUGAAGGACCUAACGACCGUGACCCGUAUGAUCCGUUAACUUUAUCUUACCCAACUCUAUAAUCAAAUACUGCUUUAGGGUCCACUAUCUAUGCGAAAAUUAAACACCGCAUCCACUUCCUAUGCUGGAACUCUCCCUUAAUAGUAGUGAACACGGCAGAUUGAGAAGUAUCUAGCAAUACUAUCAUCCUCAACUCCACAAGCAAAAGCCAGAAAAAUCAUUACACACGCCAAGGCAAGCUCUGAAACUGAUAGUGAUAUUACAAAGUAUUCAUCCUACCCUCAGCAAAAAGUCCCUUUCACAUAACCUCAAGCCUAUGAGCAACAGUCCACAAGUAAUGAGAACAAGAUCCCACUCCAAGAGAGAUCCCUAACAGAACCCAAACUGGGUCAAUGUUCGUACCUCUGUAAACAUCCCAGACUCUCAUGCAUCUAACAAACAAUAUACUCCUAGUUAACUUUAACUGCACAAAGAGUAUUUAGUACAAUCUACCCCAACUGACCAACAUGGGUUCCAUACAAAAAAAGGUAAAAGUUAACACAUAACUGGAUCCAAAUAAAACUGUGUCAAAACUUCUUAUUAUAUAUUUUUACUCGGACACGUUUUGGAUACAUUAGGGGCACUAAGGACACAUUUGGGAAACAUAAGGAGGUUAAAAUGCAAUUUUUAAAAGUUGGUUAAACUAAAAAUUCCACGGAUGUUUCAUUCAUGAAAACAUAUGUCGACUAUGUAGUGACCGUUGAUGUAUCUUCAUAAUCAGCAACACUAUUUGUGUUUUAUCCAUGAUAAUUGGGUAGAAAUAACUUUUCUGUCUUUCAUAUGAAUUCCUAGAUACAUCUAUCAUAAAAAUAUACUUUUUUCGACCUACUCCCAAAAGAUUUGUGUCCUGUUUUUGGAGACGGGGCAUGCCCAUGCCGUGUUGUGCCCACCGUCGCUAUCCAUGCUUCUUGCGAGGGUAUUGAACACUCGGUAAUGGAGUAGUUCGAAAUAGUACCAAGAUUGUUAGCUACACGAACAAACAACUAGAAGGUGAAUUCUUGUUGCUUAAGAAAAACCACCAGGUAGUCCACUUCUCUCUGAUCUUUUAGAAGUAUGCCAAAAACCAAAAUGUGGUGUCAUACAAUCUAAUAUGAGCCACUUUCUUUAUCAGAAAUUUCCUCACAUAAACCUUUCGUGUGCGAUAGCCUUUGGGAAACUCAACCACGCCAGAAUUGCUUUGUGGCUUUGAAUAUGGAGGAAAAGGAAAAAAGAAAAAAACAAAUACACCUGAAGUCAAGGGAGAAAAUGAAUCAUAAAAACACAUACUACAUAAGAGAUGCCAAGAUUAUGUGGUUCGGUCUAACCUACGUCUAUGGGCAAAACAGACGAAAAAAGGAUUACAUUGAAAACAAAGAGAACGAGUUCUCCAAGAGCUACUACAAUGGUGACAAAGUUAACUCUCACCAAACAAAGGAUAAGUUCUGUCAAAAUACUCUCCACCAAAAGGCUUGUCUUUACAAAUUUUGAGCCAAUAGGCGCUACCAAUGACUCUAAAGCCUCACGAGACAAAACGAGGUCCUACUUAUACCAAAGACAAUAAAACUUUCUACCAAGGACCUGAAAACACAACGCUAACAAGUUCAUCCAAAUGGAGAGAGGGAGAGAGAGAGAGAUCAUAUUUAUUGCAAACAAGUCUUUCUGAAACUAACCCUAAUUUAAUUUUUUUUUGGAAUCCAAGUCCACAACAAACAAGGAAACAUCAAACACCCAAAAUAAAAUUUUUAGAAAAUCCAAAACAAAGUAAACGAUGGCCAAACGAGUUCAAACACAUUAAUAAGAAUUAUCCAGAACGUACGUAAACAAACUUCAAAAUCGAACUAAUUUCUGUUUUCUCGAACUUAAGUUCUUUGUCAAAUCAAUUUCUUUUUCGAUCGAAUCACAAAAAAAUAAAAAUAAAAAUAAAAAUUCCUUGGCUAUCCUUUCAAACACAGAAGACCCUUUCAUCAGAAACCCAAUUGAUACUUAUUAGCCGUUUCGAAAGCCCCAAACCAAAUCAAACCAAAAAGUUUGAUCCCAUUAGGCAAAACCAAACUUGCAUCCAAUUUGAACAUUCCUUGAAUUCUUCGCGCAUCUGUUUCAUCUAUAUGUUCCCAAUACUUGUAAGCAACCAAAAUCGAUCAAAAAGGUCAAACGAACAUAAUAAAAGGGUACUGAUCGUCAUAAAACCAAUCGAAUCGAUAGAUCUUCAGACACCGGUUUAAUCCAGAAAAUUGCAAUUUUUGAAUAGAUGAGAGCAUUUUAGAAGAGAGGCAAGAUAGUAGAUAAAAAUACGGACCUUCUUUUUUCUUUCUGGAGUUUUU